rnacentral:rRNA from 1 species
GGAGGGAAACCGAGUCUUAAUUGGGCGUUAAGUUGCAGGGUAUAGACCCGAAACCCGGUGAUCUAGCCAUGGGCAGGUUGAAGGUUGGGUAACACUAACUGGAGGACCGAACCGACUAAUGUUGAAAAAUUAGCGGAUGACCUGUGGCUGGGGGUGAAAGGCCAAUCAAACCGGGAGAUAGCUGGUUCUCCCCGAAAGCUAUUUAGGUAGCGCCUCGUGAAUUCAUCUCCGGGGGUAGAGCACUGUUUCGGCUAGGGGGCCAUCCCGGCUUACCAACCCGAUGCAAACUGCGAAUACCGGAGAAUGUUAUCACGGGAGACACACGGCGGGUGCUAACGUCCGUCGUGAAGAGGGAAACAACCCAGACCGCCAGCUAAGGUCCCAAAGUCAUGGUUAAGUGGGAAACGAUGUGGGAAGGCCCAGACAGCCAGGAUGUUGGCUUAGAAGCAGCCAUCAUUUAAAGAAAGCGUAAUAGCUCACUGGUCGAGUCGGCCUGCGCGGAAGAUGUAACGGGGCUAAACCAUGCACCGAAGCUGCGGCAGCGAACGUAUCACCCAAGACAACUUUACGGAGUUGACGAUUGACGGAGCGAAGCGACGUCAAAGCGUUCAUUAAAGUCGAGUUGGCUUAGGGAUACGUUCGUUGGGUAGGGGAGCGUUCUGUAAGCCUGUGAAGGUGUGUCGUGAGGCA